GACCUAUACCCGGCCGUCGGGG
rnacentral:snRNA from 1 species